UGCAGUCGAACGGAGAACUUUUGGUAAUUUAUUAUCGGAGGUUCUUAGUGGCGAACGGGUGAGUAACGCGUUGGUGACCUGCCCCAAAGCGUGGGAUAACCCUGGGAAACCGGAGCUAAUACCACAUGUGAUCAUGAGCAUUAGAAAACCAUGAUUAAAGGACCUCGGUUCACUUUGGGAGGGGCCUGCGUCCCAUCAGCUAGUUGGUAGGGUAAUGGCCUACCAAGGCUAAGACGGGUAGGGGACCUGAGAGGGUGGCCCCCCACAAUGGUACUGAAACACGGACCAUACACCUACGGGUGGCAGCAGUAGGGAAUAUUGCACAACGGACGAAAGUCUGAUGCAGCAACGCCGCGUGUGCGAUGAAGGCCUUCGGGCUGUAAAGCACUUUUCUGAGGGAAGAGGAAGGACGGUACCUCAGGAAUAAGUCUCGGCUAACUACGUGCCAGCAGCCGCGGUAACACGUAGGAGGCAAGCGUUAUCCGGAUUUACUGGGCGUAAAGCGCGUGCAGGCGGUUCGGUAAGUUGGAUGUGAAAGCUCCUGGCUCAACUGGGAGAUGCCGUUCAAUACUGCCGGACUCGAGGACGGUAGAGGGAGGUGGAAUUCCCGGUGUAGUGGUGAAAUGCGUAGAUAUCGGGAGGAACACCAGUGGCGAAAGCGGCCUCCUAGGCCGUUCCUGACGCUAAGACGCGAAAGCAUGGGUAGCGAACGGGAUUAGAAACCCCGGUAGUCCAUGCCGUAAACGAUGCGAACUUGGUGUUGGUGGUGUAAAAGCCAUCAGUACCGAAGCUAACGCGAUAAGUUCGCCGCCUGGGGAUUACGA
rnacentral:rRNA from 1 species